rnacentral:lncRNA from 1 species
UCUCUGAACAAAAAGAAUUCUCGAAGUGUUCUUAUAUACACCAAACAAACUCCUACAAUUUAAGGGAUCAAUUAUUGCCAAUGAAAUGACUCUAAUUAAAAGAUGCAGGCCCUGUGGUGGUCUUUUGCCCCUUCUAUUCAGUUCCUUCUAAAAUCCAUAAUUCCUUCUACCUGGUCACUUGGCAAAGCAUUGUGCUAGGCUGCCGUCUGCCCAGAGGUAGUCACCCUCUUCACAGCCGUGGGCAGAGCUUCCCCUGGCAGUGUCCCCGAGCUUCCUGUUCAUCAGACACCCGUGCAGUCAGACACCAAUGAUACAUCUUCUCUUUAACUUCUGGAAAAAGUAUAUAACUUGGUACAAUUCAAGGGGUCCUUUGGUAGUACUGCCAAGAAUCUUAAAAAUUCCACAUCAGGAAUUAAACAUUAAGCAAAUAAUCAGAUAUAAAUACAAAAUUUGAUGCCUCUAAGAUAUUUAUCACAGCAUUAUCUAUGAUAGCGAAAAACUGAUGUAGUCUUUAUAUCCAACGAAGAAAUAGCUAGAAAAAACUUAUGGUAUAAUAAACAAUAUCCAUUCUGGAUAUUCAUAUGCCUAUACACAUGGAUUGAUACGUAAAUAGAUGGAUAGUUAGAGAUAGAUAACUUUAUAUUCCACAUCAAUAAGAAAUAAUAACAUGCUCAAUUGUAAUAUAUUUCUAGUAGUUGGAAUAUAGGUGGUAUUCAUUUAUUGCUUUUACUUCUCUAUAACUUCUGAUGUUAUAUAUAAACACAUACAACUUUUAUAAUCAAAAAAAAUUAAUGUCUAAAAAGGACUUUAAAUUUUGGAAAAAGGAAAAGACGGCCAUGCAGCUUGGAGAUACCAAAAUGCCAGCACUUUACUGUCAGCCUAAGUCAAAAACGUCACCUGACAGCCUCACUGUUGACUGGCAGCAAGCCAGCUUCCCGGGGCUGAGGUCCUGGUCUGGUGGGGAGCAAAGAUCAGGAAGACUGGUCCUGCUGACACGAGGACAAGCAUCCUCACCCUCUGACAGCUCAGGGCCAACAAGGAAGCGGGACCACGGCAAGCAGAAGGCGAACACUCUUCUGCAUCCAAACCCUUGACUCCAGAGAUCCCGCCACAGCAGCAGCCCAGCCAGGGACCCUGAACCACAGCCCACAUGACAGCUUGGAUGCGGCUUCUCUGCUCCACUGGCAGCCCUCUGCCCUCUCCCUCCCCUGGAGAAGAAGACUGUUGGGUCCACAGUCCUACUGCACCGGGGGUACAGCAGGAGGGAGGCAUGGGCUCGCCCACCCUGUGUUUCGCUGGUCCAGGCUCAUAGGACAGCGCCGUCCCAGAGACAGUCCUGCAAGAGCGCAUCCUCUUCCCACCUCCACUCUCCACAUCUAGAGCCAUCAUUUACUCCACAAGCCACCAGGGCAUGCCACAGGUCAGACUCCUACCUAGGCUGGCUUCCCACAGUCUAUUCCCCAUAACCACCCCUCUGCCUAACCCCCUCCAGGUGCUAGAGGACAGUCUGCCCUCCUCGCCACCUCUCACAGCCCCACAGGCCUGCCAGCACAGGCUCCUUCUCUCCAUCCUCAGGGUGUGUGCACUGGCUGCUCCCUCCACCGCAAGGCUGGUUCCACCACAGCCCAGGGCACACCCUGUGCCUCGUCCUGGAUGGAAGGAGCUGGGUCUGUAGAAACCAGCAGUCUGGGGCUAGGACAGGGAGCUGAACAAAAUGAGGCCAGAGGCUGGUGGGUCGGACCUGUGGACUCGUGUUCCUCCAGGGGGUCUGGAUUUUAUUCUCAGCACAACGGCAGAGCCCUCAGAGGGUGUUUGGUCGGAGAGUGAGCUGACCUGAACUGCAUCUGAAGCAGAUGGCUCUGACUCCUGUGAGCAGAGAGUGGAGGGAGAGCUUGAGUGGACAUGGGGGAUAUAGAAAGAGCAGCAGAGAUGGAGAGGUCAACACUGUUUGGGAUGGGAAUCAAGGCUCUUUUCUCUCUGCUUGUCCUCUUUCACAUCACUCUGAACUUUGCCCAGGGAGGCCAACAUCUGCUGUCUCCACACAGUAAGCAGGCUUCUUCCUGCUCUACCAAAGCUCCCCCAAAUUCUCAGAAUCAAAGCCAGGGGCCUUCCCUCAGGCCGCAUUCUCCAUCUCCCUUCUCCUUUCAUGUGGACAGGAUCUGGAUGAGACAAGACCAGCAGAUACAGGUGAGCUUACACGCCGUCCCUUGGCCGACUGUAGGAGUGUAUGCACACACUGCACACUAUACUCAAUCACCCAUGACCCACAGCCAGCCCAGGCUGCACGACCUUUCAAGGCGCCCUCCGGCCGGCCUGGCCCCUGGCUGGCACUGCUUCCUCCCCACCAUCUAAGCUGGGUGUUCCCCAUGGGCACCGCCAGCUUCCUCUUCUCCAGGGCAUCUGCUGCUGCUGAGGUCAUGUCCAGACCGAAUAUGGCCCUGACCUCGUCCUGGUUCAGUUCUGCAUUCUCAGCUGUCCUCGGAAGACUUCUACUGGGACAGGCUGUGGUCUUCACAGUGAAGGCUCUUCAAAUGUCACAAACCAGCUCCUCUCCAUCCACCACCCCCAUCACCCCUGAGCCAGGUGGUCACCAGGGCCUCCUGCCUGGGCCCUUGCAUGGCUCCUUUCAAUUUCUACUCCACCCGUUCUAGUCCAUGCUGUUUUUCAGUCUUUUCCUCCUAGCCUAUCAAUACCCUGUCUGCCAGCCUUCUUGUAUCUCUGAGAUUACUCCUGGGCUGGAAUGCGGCAGAUCUGUUGUUCGGUUCAUCCAUGAGGCCCCAGACUAAGCACCAAUGAACACGGAACAAGCGGACAUGCUGCUCGUUCCUCACAACCCUCAGGGGCUCCUCAAUAGGGAUGAGAGAAACCGGAUGCCUUCAACAGGCCCUAAAGUUUCCUUCCUUUGGACCCAAUCCUCCUUUCUAGGCUUCUUUUCAAUGAUUCUAGUUAGGCUGGAGCCUAAUUAGUCUUCCGAGUCCUCCCCCACCUUCCUGAUGGUGAUCACUUGCACGUUAAAAACCUGGAGCUUUCAAUAUUUGGAAACUGCCAAGACCCUCACUGCUCUCUGUCCAUCUGUAUCCAAGCAACUCUUUCUUUUCCCCCCACCCCCCAUGUCUGCUGGACUGCCCACCCUGGCUGUCCCUCCACGUCUGCAUUGCAGCCGUCUCCAUCCACACUGCUCAGUAAGACCCUCUCGUGACACUGCUUCAGCUCUGAAUCACUUGUGCAUCGUUACUGCACUUUUUCUGGUCUUCUUUUUUUCUAGGGCCGCGCCCAUGGCAUAUGGAGGUUCCCAGGUGAGGGGUCUAAUCGAAGCUACAGCUGCCAGCCUACACCACAGCCAAAGUACAUGGGAUCUGAGCCAUAUCUGCGACCUACACCACAGAUCACGGCAACGCCGGAUCUUAACCCACUGAGCGAGGCCAGGACCGAACCUGAGUCCUCAUGGAUACUAGUCAGGUUCGUUAACCUGUGAGCUACGAUGGGAACUCCCAUUACUGCACUUUGAGACAUGUGGUGUUUGCGCUCUAACAAGACUGCACGUUCCCUGGGUGCUGGCAGAUUUGCACGGCAUCCUCCUAUCACCCGGUGCGGCUCCUCACACAGAAAAAGGGCUCUGUAAGUAUUUUCUGAUGUACACAUCAGUCAAAUGGGAUGCAGACUGAGUCCUAUGCCACACUCUACAAAAGAUGAGGGAAAGGACGGGACAGAAACAUCUUUGUUUCUGUCUACACAAGAUGCACGAUGAGUGGGUAGCAGAGGGCGUAGAUGAUCAAAAGAAAAUUUUACAGCCUCUGAAGAGGGUACCGGCUGACGUCUCCUCCUACUGAAUGGGUGUGCAUAACACUGCCUCAGAAUAUCAGCCAUAUCCCCAGGAGAGAGCCCAUUAAGACAGCCACCAAUUCAUUCAGCUUCGUUGCUAAUGAAUGUCGCUACCUCUGGCAUCAUAACCUGUGGAUGGCAUAUAAGUAGGGCGGAAUUCACAAUCGCCAUAUACAAUACCAUUUUUACACAUACAAGGACUUGUGCCCCACGUCCUUUCACUAGAACUCUACUCGGCAGCCUUUCUCCAGUAAGAGCCACUGCCAUUCCUUAUCCUGUCUCUCAUCCCAAUCCUAGUCCUACUCUCUAAAAAAAGGUGAGAGCAAGAGACGGAGGAAGAAGAAGGAUGCACUGCAGAGGAUCCUGGAGAUCUAGAAAACUCUCACCCCAUUUUACAGGUGAGAAACUCAAGGCUGCUAAAUAUAUUGUGGGAGGAGCAAAUGGCUUUGGCCAAAUCUAUUUAAAUUCUUCCUCCUCCACAUACCGUGUGGUGUAACAUCCCAGGUUCGGUGUCCACGACUGUAAAAAGGCAGCAAUAUUCCUCGCCGGGUUGUUGUGAGGGUUAAACGGGAUGAGGAAUGUGAUCCGACCACACAGGUCCUCAGAGGGUAGGAGUCAAAGAGGGCCAAGCCGAAUCUCCCUCCCUGGUGCUUCCUUCCCUCGGAUCCUUUCUUUUUUUCUUUUGUUUAUUGUCUUUUUAGGGCCGCACCCGCGGCAUAUGGAGGUUCCCAGGCUAGGGAUCCAUCGGAGCUACAGCUGCUGGCCUAUGCCACAGCCACAGCCACACGGGAUCCAAGCCACGUCUACGACCUACACCGCAGAUCAUAGCAAUGCCAGAUCCUGAACCCACUGAGUGAGGCCAGGAAUCGAACCCAGUCCUCAGGAUACAAGCCAGGUUCUUAACCUGCUGAGCUGCAAUGAGAACUCCGCCCUAGGAUUCUGAAGGAGGGACAUUUAUUGCAGCUGGAACUCUCCUUCACACAAAGAGGGGGUGAGGGCAGAGGGCAGCUUCUGAGAAGGCACUAAGGGGCUCAUGAAGCCACAACUGCCAUCUGUGCUUUGCUUUUUUUCUGGGCAGCUCUGAGACAACAUGCCAAGAACUCUAAGAACACUGCUUUCGGCCGCUGGGCAGGGCUGCUGGAAGGCAGAGGGGAUCGCUGGGAGGGCAGAGGCUCCUUACCCCGGGACUUGGGGUGCAGUCACUGCCUGGCUGGGCAGUGGACACUUUUCAUUCUCGCCCUGCCCACACCAUCCAGCUCUGGGCAGGAAACAGCAGCUCAGCCUUUACACACAUGAGGUUAGAAGGAUGUGGCUUUUAAACACAUCAGGGCCAGGGUGAGUCCCUUCCCCACACCUCUCCUUCUAUUUAGGGUGCCCUCCAUCAAAGCAAGAAGGCUUCUCAGGAAUCCCAUCACCACCAUGCCCAGCCCCAGCCAGGAUGGUGCUGGAGGAAAGCCAUCUCCCUUCCCUGGGGGCUGCCUCCUGCCUCGCCUGGGUCUUCACUACACUGUGUGAUGGUUCCCUCCACCGCAGCUAGAGCUAAAUGACAAGUUGGCCCACAAAGUUACAGCAAUUCAGGCGACAGCUAUGUAACAGCCCAGAAGGGGCUGGGCUCACAAGCGCUUCCUUACUCUAGGGAGCUGCAUUUUUUUAAGAUUAUUAUUCCUUGGGCUGGUGCUCAACUUCUCAGCGUCAUUUCCCCUUUGGGUGGGAAAGUUCUUUCCUUCUGCACUGAUUUUCGUUAUGACUUAAGCCUCCCCUCCCAUCUCCUCCCCCACCCGGCGCAUUUGCCGAUCUCACAAUUAAAGCCUAUGGAUUGCAAAAGUCAAAGUGUAUAAACUUAAGCACUCAGCUUAGAACUGUGGCUCGGCUCAGAAACUCUGAAUUGUUAAAAGAAAAAAAAAAAAAAAAAAA